GUGCCAGCCGCCGCGGUAAUACGUAGGUGACAAGCGUUAUCCGGAAUUACUGGGCGUAAAGCGCACGCAGGCGGUGUGGUAAGUCUGAUGUGAAAUCUCCUGGCUUAACUGGGAGGGGUCAUUGGAAACUGCCGUACUUGAGGCGAUGAGAGGGGUGUAGAAUUCCCGGUGUAGUGGUGGAAUGCGUAGAUAUCGGGAGGAAUACCAGUGGCGAAAGCGACACCCUGGCAUUAGCCUGACGCUCAUGUGCGAAGGCGUGGGGAGCGAACGGGAUUAGAUACCCCUGUAGUCC
rnacentral:rRNA from 1 species